CAUUUUAAUUGCAUUAGCAGUGAUUUAAUUUUUUUAGAUGCUAAAACUUAUGGGUGAAAGUGGAUUAAAUGUAGCCAAAUGCAACAUCAAAAUCUUCAGGCACAAAAACCCAUUAACUUUUUCAUACUCUCAGAAGAUGAACCUAAUUUCAAAUGAAAGCUGCCUCCAGAAUAUAUUAAGCGUAUUCUAGAUAUAAUUCAUUUUGGCAAACAUACUGUAGAAAUUCACAUAACAUUUUACUGUACUAAAAGUAAAUUGCCCAUGUAACAAAAAAUAUCUUUUCAGAGCUUCAAAUGAAUUUUAAAGGAUGACUGAUGGUCCUUGGAAGAGAAACAGUAAACAAAUAAGGUUUGUAGCAAUGAUGUAUGAGUUAGAAAUUGCAGUUCCAGAUGAUCUCUUUAUUAAAGAGACGAUCUACACUUAAUUUGGUCAACUGUUAUGAACAUAGUUCAUGUUAAGUCCCCAUUUAAAUACAACCUGAAAUACCAAAGUUA
rnacentral:lncRNA from 1 species